UACGGAGGGUGCGAACGUUAAUCGGAAUCACUGGGCGUAAAGCGCGCGUAGGCGGUUUGUUAAGUCGGAUGUGAAAUCCCCGGGCUUAACCUGGGAAUUGCAUUUCAAACUGGCCGACUAGAGUACGGUAGAGGGAGGUAGAAUUUCCUGUGUAGCGGUGAAAUGCGUAGAUAUAGGAAGGAAUACCAGUGGCGAAGGCGGCCUCCUGGAUCGAUACUGACGCUGAGGCGCGAAAGCGUGGGGAGCAAACAGG
rnacentral:rRNA from 1 species